rnacentral:rRNA from 1 species
GACGGUCCCAGUUCGAAUUGAAGGCUGAAAUUCGCCUUCAUGAAGUCGGAAUUGCUAGUAAUGGCAGGUCAGCAUACUGCCGUGAAUACGUUCCCGGGCCUUGUACACACCGCCCGUCACACCAUGAGAGUUGGAGAUACCCGAAGCCUGUGAGCUAACUUUUAGAGGCAGCAGUCGAAGGUAGAAUCAAUGAUUGGGGUGAAGUCGUAACAAGGUAAC